rnacentral:rRNA from 1 species
GGGCCCGCACAAGCGGUGGAGCAUGUGGUUUAAUUCGAUGAUACGCGAGGAACCUUACCAGGGCUUAAAUGUAGUCUGACAGGGGUGGAAACACCUCCUCCUUCGGGCAGAUUACAAGGUGCUGCAUGGUUGUCGUCAGCUCGUGCCGUGAGGUGUCAGGUUAAGUCCUAUAACGAGCGCAACCCCUGCCGUUAGUUGCCAGCAUGUAAUGAUGGGAACUCUAACGGGACUGCCGGUGCAAACCGCGAGGAAGGUGGGGAUGACGUCAAAUCAUCACGGCCCUUACGUCCUGGGCUACACACGUGCUACAAUGGCCGGUACAGAGGGCAGCCACACCGCAAGGUGGAGCGAAUCCUUAAAACCGGUCUCAGUUCGGAUCGGGGUCUGCAACUCGGCCCCGUGAAGCUGGAAUCGCUAGUAAUCGCAGGU